rnacentral:rRNA from 1 species
GCAUAUCAAUAAGCGGAGGAAAAGAAACCAACAGGGAUUGCCUUAGUAGCGGCGAGUGAAGCGGCAAAAGCUCAAAUUUGAAAUCUGGCACUUUCAGUGUCCGAGUUGUAAUUUGAAGAAGGUAUCUUUGGGUCUGGCUCUUGUCUAUGUUUCUUGGAACAGAACGUCACAGAGGGUGAGAAUCCCGUGCGAUGAGAUGUCCCAGACCUAUGUAAAGUUCCUUCGAAGAGUCGAGUUGUUUGGGAAUGCAGCUCUAAGUGGGUGGUAAAUUCCAUCUAAAGCUAAAUAUUGGCGAGAGACCGAUAGCGAACAAGUACAGUGAUGGAAAGAUGAAAAGAACUUUGAAAAGAGAGUGAAAAAGUACGUGAAAUUGUUGAAAGGGAAGGGCUUGAGAUCAGACUUGGUAUUUUGUAUGUUACUCUCUCGGGGGUGGCCUCUACAGUUUACCGGGCCAGCAUCAGUUUGAGCGGUAGGAUAAGUGCAAAGAAAUGUGGCACUGCUUCGGUAGUGUGUUAUAGUCUUUGUCGAUACUGCCAGCUUAGACUGAGGACUGCGGCUUCGGCCUAGGAUGUUGGCAUAAUGAUCUUAAGUCGCCCGUCUUGA